rnacentral:snoRNA from 1 species
GAAAAUGAGGAACAAAUACAAUGUGAAUCAAGACUUAAUGUUCUUGGAACCGUGUACCAAAUAUUGCUUAUUGAUAUUCUGAUUCCA